rnacentral:rRNA from 1 species
UUCUCGACCUCAAAUCAGGUAGGACUACCCGCUGAACUUAAAGCAUAUCAAUAAGCGGAGGAAAAGAAACUAACAAGGAUUCCCCCUAGUAACUGCGAGUGAAGCGGGAAAAGCUCAAAUUUAAAAUCUGGCGGUCUCUGGCCGUCCGAGUUGUAAUCUAGAGAAGUGAUGCCCGCACUGGACCGUGUACAAGUCUCCUGGAAUGGAGCGUCAUAGAGGGUGAGAAUCCCGUCUUUGACACGGACUACCAGGGCUUUGUGGUACGCUCUCAAAGAGUCGAGUUGUUUGGGAAUGCAGCUCUAAAUGGGUGGUAAAUUCCAUCUAAAGCUAAAUAUUGGCGAGAGACCGAUAGCGAACAAGUACCGUGAGGGAAAGAUGAAAAGAACUUUGGAAAGAGAGUUAAACAGUACGUGAAAUUGCUGAAAGGGAAACGCUUGAAGUCAGUCGCGUUGGCCGGGAAUCAGCCUCGCUUUUGCGUGGUGUACUUUCUGGUUGACGGGUCAGCAUCAAUUUUGACCGCUGGAAAAAGGCUUAGGGAAUGUGGCAGCUUCGGCUGUGUUAUAGCCCUUCGUCACAUACAACGGUUGGGAUUGAGGAACUCAGCACGCCGCAAGGCCGGGUUUCGACCACGUUCGUGCUUAGGAUGCUGGCAUAAUGGCUUUAAGCGACCCGUCUUGAAACACGGACCAAGGAGUCUAACAUGCCUGCGAGUGUUUGGGUGGAAAACCCGAGCGCGUAAUGAAAGUGAAAGUUGAGAUCCCUGUCGUGGGGAGCAUCGACGCCCGGACCUGAACUUUUGUGACGGAUCCGCGGUAGAGCAUGUAUGUUGGGACCCGAAAGAUGGUGAACUAUGCCUGAAUAGGGCGAAGCCAGAGGAAACUCUGGUGGAGGCUCGUAGCGAUUCUGACGUGCGAAUCGAUCGUCA